rnacentral:rRNA from 1 species
GACGAACGCUGGCGGCGUGCUUAACACAUGCAAGUCGAACGGCCCGGCCCUGCUUUUGUGGGCUGCUCGGGAGGCGAUCGGGAGAGACCCACGUGUGUAACCUGCCCUUGACUUAGGGGUAUCUUCAGGGAACUUGGGCUAUUACCGGAUAGGAGAUCCUGCUACAUGGGGGGGGUGGGAGAGUUUCGGCGGUUGGGGAUGGACUCGCGGCUUAUCAGCUUGUUGGUGGGGUAGUGGCUGACGAAGGCUUUGCCGGGUAGCCGGCCUUCGGGGGUGACCGGGCACAUUGGGACUGGGACAGGGACCAGACCCCUACGCGAGGCAGCGGUGGCGAAGAUGGCACAAGGGGCGGAAGCCUGAUGCAGCACCGGCGCGGGCGGGAUGACGGCCUACGGGUUGGAAACCGCUUGCGCCUGUGACGAAGCGGGUGUGACGGUAAUGGGUAAAGGAGCACCGGCCAACUACGUU